AAUUACUUCAGAUGAACAAAAGAUGAGCUAACAUUAUCUCCAGUGGUCUUGCAAAGCCCCUCUGGGUAACUUUCUAUGUUUGCAUCCAAUUUAUCCAAGAGUAUAACGCUCCCUUUAAUGGUCUUUUAAUGUUAUCCAGUUCCAAGUGUAUGGGUUAUUAAAAACCUUCCCUUAUAUCCUUUAUACUCUGUAAUUUAUACUCUCCCCAGUAAAACAGAUGACCACUGGAGAAAAUCCAGGCAUUGUCUGUCAUUUUCCAAGCAUUUUAGGUCACUUUAUGGUGAGGAUAUCCUCUCUCCACUCACAGAUGUUAUUUACUGUAUGCACUUGGGACUGAAUGACAAACCUGUAUCUCCAAAACUUAAGCAUUAUGGUGUGGACAAGCUGAGGCACAGUCAUACAGCAUUAGCCAAUUGUCAACACAUUUAAAAGUCUCACUCUGACGUUUAAUCUGAAGUUUCGCAUUUAACACAUCACACACAGGACUUCAAACUGAGUUUGGCUCAUGUCUCAUCUUCCAUACUAAGCUAUAAGCGUGGAUGAUUUCAAGAGGUUUGGUUAUUUGCAGACCUGGCAUCAUGAGUAUUUGCUUUUCUCUCAAAAUGAAAAAGCUGCCAUUGAAAAGAAGCUUAAGAAGCAGAAGCCAGCAGAACCUACAACCAUGGAGAUUCCCAGUUGACCGUGGCAGAUGAAUAAGAUGAAGAAGUAUAAACUGGAGUUCUUUCUCUCUUCUCAACAGCUGCAUUUGUGUUGCAAAUUCCUCCCCGCUGAGAAAUGCUUAUAAUAGGAGAAAUCAGUUGGACAGCAGUGAGGUUCAUGCCAGCGAACAACUGAAAGAAACCUGGCAACUAGGGGAAAAACCCUCUCAAGUCCAUCCUGUCGAACAAAAGGCGGUCGACGCAUUGAGCAAAGAUGCAACGAGUUCUGCGUCCGAGGCACAUGACGUGCAUCAUGGAAACAUAUUGUAUCGAAAUCGUUUGUGGGAGAAUACCGGGGAUGAAAAAGAAUGGGGCGCUUUGAUCCGCGCCCUGGGGUCCCGAGCUCCCCGAGUGCGUGCCGACUGACUGCAAGGCCUUAUUCACUUUCAGAUAGACACACUUACAAACGCCACUGAAUGAAAUUUGCAUAUUUGUAAUUUAUCACAUUUAGCCCGACUUUUCUGUCUCUUUGCGGAAGGUGGAAGUUUGAAUAAAAAAGUGGAUCAAUUAUCAACGCGAAGCUGUUCCCUUCUCAUAGGAAGAAGGCUGUCUUGGAAAAUUAGAAAAGUAGUUGUUGUUGUUAGAAAAAAAAAAUAGAAAGGAAACUGAAACUGAUGAAAAAGUAUGAUUUUUUUUUGCAUUAAAAACAAAACACUACUUUUAA
rnacentral:lncRNA from 12 species